rnacentral:ncRNA from 1 species
ACGGAUGAAGAUUAAAAGGGAAUCGGGUGUAACUCCCGGACAGUCCCGCUGCUGUGAAGCUCUAUAGAACAUCUUAUAAAUUAACCAGAUUCGCGCCACUGACGGAGGUAAAAAAUCCAUCGGGAAGGCCUGUAAGAUGAGAGUCAGUCAGAAGACCUGCCAGUCUAAAUU